CCUACGGGUGGCAGCAGUGAGGAAUAUUGGUCAAUGGCCGAGAGGCUGAACCAGCCAAGUCGCGUGAGGGAAGACGGCCCUACGGGUUGUAAACUUCUUUUGUCGGGGAGCAAAGAGAGUCACGUGUGACUCAUUGAGAGUACCCGAAGAUAAAGCAUCGGCAAACUCCGUGCCAGCAGCCGCGGUAAUACGGCGGAUGCGAGCGUUAUCCGGAUUUAUUGGGUUUAAAGGGUGCGCAGGUGGAGGUGUAAGUCAGCGGUAAAAUUGCGGGGCUCAACCCCGUACUGCCGUUGAAAUUGCAUCCAUUGAGCGCGCGAGAGGUAUGCGGAAUGCGUGGUGUAGCGGUGAAAUGCAUAGAUAUCACGCAGAACUCCGAUUGCGAAGGCAGCAUACCGGCGCGCAACUGACGCUCAUGCACGAAAGCGUGGGUAUCGAACAGGAUUAGAUACCCGGGUAGUC
rnacentral:rRNA from 1 species